CGCGCGGGUGAGUAACACGUAUCCAACCUGUCGUCUACUCUUGGACAGCCUUCUGAAAGGAAGAUUAAUACAAGAUGGCAUCAUGAGUCCGCAUGUUCACAUGAUUAAAGGUAUUCCGGUAGACGAUGGGGAUGCGUUCCAUUAGAUAGUAGGCGGGGUAACGGCCCACCUAGUCUUCGAUGGAUAGGGGUUCUGAGAGGAAGGUCCCCCACAUUGGAACUGAGACACGGUCCAA
rnacentral:rRNA from 1 species